rnacentral:rRNA from 1 species
UGUCGUCAGCUCGUGUUGUGAAAUGUUGGGUUAAGUCCCGCAACGAGCGCAACCCUUAUCCUUUGUUGCCAGCGGUCCGGCCGGGAACUCAAAGGAGACUGCCAGUGAUAAACUGGAGGAAGGUGGGGAUGACGUCAAGUCAUCAUGGCCCUUACGACCAGGGCUACACACGUGCUACAAUGGCGCAUACAAAGAGAAGCGACCUCGCGAGAGCAAGCGGACCUCAUAAAGUGCGUCGUAGUCCGGAUUGGAGUCUGCAACUCGACUCCAUGAAGUCGGAAUCGCUAGUAAUCGUGGAUCAGAAUGCC